UACAGAGGGGGCGAGCGUUAUUCGGAAUUAUUGGGCGUAAAGGGCGCGUAGGCGGCUUUGCAAGUGACGGGUGAAAUCCCUCGGCUUAACCGAGGAACUGCCUGUCAAACUGCAUGGCUUGAGACCGGGAGAGGUGAGUGGAAUUCCCAGUGUAGCGGUGAAAUGCGUAGAUAUUGGGAGGAACACCAGUGGCGAAGGCGGCUCACUGGACCGGUACUGACGCUGAGGCGCGAAAGCGUGGGGAGCAAACAGG
rnacentral:rRNA from 1 species